GACGAACGCUGGCGGCGUGCCUAAUACAUGCAAGUAGAACGCAGUUGCGAACGGGUGAGUAACGCGUAGGUAACUGCCUGGUAGCGGGGGAUAACUAUUGGAAACGAUAGCUAAUACCGCAUACUACCAGAUGGACCUGCGUUGUAUUAGCUAGUUGGUGAGGUAACGGCUCACCAAGGCAACGAUACAUAGCCGAACUGAGAGGGGUGUUGGCCACACUGGGACUGAGAACCGGCCCAGAAUUCCAAGGGAGGCAGCAGGAGGGAAUCUUCGGCAAUGGGGGGAAACCUGACCGAGCAACGCCGGGUGAGUGAAGAAGGUUCUCGGAUCGGAAAGCUCUGUUGUUAAGGAAGCGGUACUUAACCAGAAAGGGACGGCUAACUACGUGCCAGCAGCCGCGGUAAUUC
rnacentral:rRNA from 1 species